rnacentral:ribozyme from 1 species
CCCUUUCAUGUACUGAGCCUCUACGUGGCGAAAGGGAUCAACAGACGAAACAUUCGUCUGGCUAAUCAAUA